rnacentral:rRNA from 1 species
GCGCGAAAACUUUACAAUGCUGGCAACAGCGAUAAGGGAACCUCGAGUGCCAGGUUACAAAUCUGGCUGUCGAGAUGCCUAAAAAGCAUUUCAUAGCAAGGGCCGGGCAAGACCGGUGCCAGCAGCCGCGGUAACACCGGCGGCUCGAGUGGUAACCGUUAUUAUUGGGUCUAAAGGGUCUGUAGCCGGCCGGAUAAGUCUCUUGAGAAAUCUGGCAGCUUAACUGUCAGGCUUUCAGGAGAUACUGUCUGGCUCGAGGCCGGGAGAGGUGAGAGGUACUUCAGGGGUAGGGGUGAAAUCUUGUAAUCCUUGAAGGACCACCAGUGGCGAAGGCGUCUCACCAGAACGGACCUGACGGCAAGGGACGAAAGCUAGGGGCAC